UACGUAGGUCCCGAGCGUUGUUCGGAUUUAUUGGGCGUAAAGCGAGCGCAGGUGGUUUAUUAAGUCUGGUGUAAAAGGCAGUGGCUCAACCAUUGUAUGCGUUGGAAACUGGUAGACUUGAGUGCAGGAGAGGAGAGUGGAAUUCCAUGUGUAGCGGUGGAAUGCGUAGAUAUAUGGAGGAACACCGGUGGCGAAAGCGGCUCUCUGGUCUGUAACUGACGCUGAGGCUCGAAAGCGUGGGUAGCGAACAGG
rnacentral:rRNA from 1 species